AGGGUUUGAUCAUGGCUCAGAGUGAACGCUGGCGGCAGGCCUAACACAUGCAAGUCGAACGGCAGCGCAGCAGUAGCAAUACUGUGGGCGGCGAGUGGCGGACGGGUGAGGAAUACAUCGGAAUCUACCUUGUCGUGGGGGAUAACGUAGGGAAACUUACGCUAAUACCGCAUACGAACCAUGGUUGAAAGCGGCGGACCGCAAGGCGUCGCGCGAUUGGAUGAGCCGAUGUCCGAUUAGCUAGUUGGCGGGGUAAAGGCCCACCAAGGCGACGAUCGGUAGCUGGUCUGAGAGGAUGAUCAGCCACACUGGAACUGAGGCACGGUCCAGACUCCUACGGGAGGCAGCAGUGGGGAAUAUUGGACAAUGGGCGCAAGCCUGAUCCAGCCAUGCCGCGUGUGUGAAGAAGGCCUUCGGGUUGUAAAGCACUUUUGUUGGGGAAGAAAAGACACCGGUUAAUACCCGGGGUUUCUGACGGUACCCAAAGAAUAAGCACCGGCUAACUUCGUGCCAGCAGCCGCGGUAAUACGAAGGGUGCAAGCGUUACUCGGAAUUACUGGGCGUAAAGCGUGCGUAGGUGGUGAGUUAAGUCUGUCGUGAAAGCCCCGGGCUCAACCUGGGAAUGGCGAUGGAUACUGGCUCGCUAGAGUGCGGUAGAGGAGAGUGGAAUUCCCGGUGUAGCAGUGAAAUGCGUAGAGAUCGGGAGGAACAUCAGUUGCGAAGGCGGCUCUCUGGACCAGCACUGACACUGAGGCACGAAAGCGUGGGGAGCAAACAGGAUUAGAUACCCUGGUAGUCCACGCCCUAAACGAUGCGAACUGGACGUUGGGAGCAAUCAGGCUCUCAGU
rnacentral:rRNA from 1 species